AUUGAACGCUGGCGGCAGGCCUAACACAUGCAAGUCGAACGAGCGGCGGACGGGUGAGUAAUGUCAGGGAAACUGCCUGAUGGAGGGGGAUAACUACUGGAAACGGUAGCUAAUACCGCAUACCAUCAGAUGUGCCCAGAUGGGAUGAGCUAGUAGGGGGGGUAACGGCUCACCUAGGCGACGAUCCCUAGCUGGUCUGAGAGGAUGACCAGCAACACUGGAACUGAGAAACGGUCAGGACUCCUACGGGAGGCAGCAGUGGGGAAUAUUGCACAAGGGGGGCAAGCCUGAUGCAGCCAUGCCGGGGGGGUGAAGAGGGCCUUCGGGUUGUAAAGCACUUUCAGCGGGGAGGCGUUACCCGAAGAAGAAGCACCGGCUAACUCCGUGCCAGCAGCCGCGGUAAUUC
rnacentral:rRNA from 1 species